rnacentral:rRNA from 1 species
UACGGGGGGGGCAAGCGUUGUUCGGAAUUACUGGGCGUAAAGGGCUCGUAGGUGGCCAACUAAGUCAGACGUGAAAUCCCCAGGCUCAACUUGGGAACUGCGUCUGAUACUGGAAGGCUUGAAUCCGGGAGAGGGAUGUGGAAUUCCAGGUGUAGCGGUGAAAUGCGUAGAUAUCUGGAGGAACACCGGUGGCGAAGGCGACAUCCUGGACCGGUAUUGACGCUGAGGCGCGAAAGCGUGGGGAGCGAACAGG